UGAAAGGCACAUUUUAAUCAAUUUCCAGCCAGAACUGUGAAUAAAAUCUAGUCCCGACCAAGUACGCAGUGCAGCAUAAGUUACCAUGGUGAUCUACCCAGAUUAAAAGAAAGCCGCUUUCGUACCUUCAUACCUCACUAACCCACCCCACUCUUGUUACAGUACAUCCCUGUGGCAGUACUCCAAACUGCUUCUGUGGUAGUUCCCACUACAGUAAGUGUCUGUAGGACUGGAGGAGCAGCAGGAGGUCAGCCCAUAGGAACCUAGCUUGGGAACUGGAGGGUUGCCAGUUCAAGUCCCUGUAAAGGCCAAGCAUAGAGCUGGAGAGGUGCCAGUUCGCCUUUCUACAUUUAAUGCAUGUAUAGGUCCUGUUUGUGCAUGCGUGUAUUUCAGGCCUGUGUGUUUCCCCUUAGGGAUUAAUAAAGUAUAUCCUCUUCUUCUUACACUUUGCUGAAAUGACACACACACACACACACACACACACACACACACACACACACACACUCACAAGGAACACUAGCCCUACCGUUGUGGCUGGUAACAAAUCAAGUCACUUUAUGGCUUAUAAAUCAAAGCUCUUUAAGAUAGCAUGAAGGAAGUAGAAACUUAUUUUGGUUUGAUCUCCAUACCUACCACCGUUUAUGACCAGAUAAAGAAAAGCUUUGACGUAGGAGCUCCAAUCUAAGGUUACACGGCUACAUGACUGUAAAUCACACCAGCUGCCAAGGCUGGAAAAUAUUGACUUUGAUCCUGAUCCUAUGUUUGCAUGGCCGAAUUAAGGUCAAUUUAAGGUUAAUGACAAGUAAUAAAAUGCAGUCUGGCGUGCAAUGUUUGUCUAGGUUUUUCUUUUUUUGUGUUGUUUUUUGGCAAUUUGAAAUAAUCAAUGUGACUGCAUAAAAUUAAAUUCAAUCACAUGGAUCAUGUAAAGGAAAUAUAACCUGCUUCAUUCACACACAAACACAAAGAAGUCAACAUUUCAGAUGCAGGCGAAUUUACGGAAAGCACCCACCAUGUAACCGAAUACACACUUAUUCACAAAAAAAGCUCCAUUUGGAACCUCCCUCCGAGAUCUCUAUUCCCGGCAGCGAAUCUCAUGGGUAGCCUAUCCCAAACAAUACACAGCCACUUCACCUUCACACCUGUUCCUGUACUCCUUCAGCAGAUCCUCAACUUCCUGUCUCUGGUGAAAUGAAGCUGCUCUCUAUUCUUACGCUGGCUCUUCUUUGGGUGACUGUUCAGGCAGCAGGGCGUCAUGGUUGCUGUACGGCUUUCUCCAAAGUCCAUGCUGUGAACCACAUCAUAAAAAGAGGAGGGGCGGUGCAGUGCCGACGGCAGGGCGUCACAGAAGGGUGCACCAUUAAUGCUGUUGUACUGCAGUGGAAACGUCGCCACGUGUGUGUGGACUCAACACCUCACAAGAUGCGGAAACUUCUUGCAACUUUGUGCAGCAACAGAAAAACCCAUAAGGGAAAGAGCAACAGACGCCUACGCAGGAGGAAGACCAAAAUCUGAACAUCCCGACCACAACUGCAGACAACCAGUCUGUCGCUUUUGUCUUCUGUUACUACAAACUGAAGAGUCAUUCCCUUUCUGAAACUGUGUCUCAGUGUCUGUCAAGAAACAUGCUACAAAAGAUAUCUGCUACUAAUGCAAGAAAGACAGAGUUGCUCGUAAGCCGACCACCACAGACACAAAGAAUAUAGAAGCAGAUUGAGAGAGAGCCAACCCUUCAUCUCUCGCAAACUCAGAUCAAACUCCGAUCAAACGGGCUGUAUUACCUAUUUCUUACAUAAAUGUCUUUAUAAACAUAUUUUAGUGCAGUGUUUGGCUGUAAAACAAGACUUUGUGAACAGGAAGUGAGCACCAUUGUAUUGUAUUGUAAAAAUGGAGGAUGAAAAUACUGAGAUCAAACGGUAAAACUUAGCAGUGCUGAUCAACUACGAACCAAGACUCUGUUACUGCAUUGCCUAUUUCUUGCCUAAAAUGUUUCCAGUGUUUGUUUUUUUUACUGGUCAUGUAGCAACAAUUUCAAAAUUAUUUGCAUCUACUAUGCCACCAGGGCCCUAUGUUCCCAUUGUACUAAGUUCCCAAGGUCCUUUGUUCCCAAGGCCCUAUGUUCCCAGGCUCCAUGUUUCAAGGGUCCUAAGUUCCCAAGGUUCUUUGUCCCCAGAGUCUUUGUUACCAAGUUACAAACAUUAACCCUCUGACUGCGUUUGGGUCAAUUAUGAUCCGUUUUUAGUUGAAGUAUUUUGGUAAUAAAAUAACCUGACCAUUCUCUUUCCUAAUCUUAACCUGUUUAGAAAUAGCAAAAAUCAGCUUCUAUGGAUUUCCUAACCCAAAAAUAUAAUCAUUAUUUUUCUUAUUUUUUUAUCUUUUACUUUUCUUCCUCUCUUUUAAUUAGUUAAUUAGUUGGUUGACUAAUUGUUAUACUUUGAAAUUUAGGGCUUAAGUAUGUUUGGGAGUUGUUUUCAAAUAGGACCUUGGGAACAUGGGACCCUGAAAAAAUAGGACCAAGGGAAAAUCAGACCUUGAGAACAUUGGGACUUAGGACCCUGGGAGCAUGGGACCCUGGGAACAUAGCAUCCUGGGAACAAUGUAGGCCCCUGGGAACAUAAAACCUUGGGAACAUAGGACAUUGGGACCCUGGCAACAUAGCACCCUGAGAGCAUAGGACUUUGGGAACAUAGGACCCUGGGAGCAUAGGACCUUGGGAACAUAAAACCUUGGGAACAUAGGACAUUGGGAAUAUAGGACUCCAAGAACAUAGGACCCUUGGAGCAAAGGACCCUGGGAACAUAGCACUCUGGCAGCAUAGGUCCCUACCAACAUAGGACCCUGGGAACAUAGGACCCUGAGAGCAUUGGUCCCUAGCAACAUAGGGCCCUGGAAACAUAGGACCUUAGGAACAUAAGACCCUGGGAACAUAAGACCUAGGGAACAUAGGGCCCUGGCAACAUAGGACAUUGGGAACAUAGGACCCUGGGAGCAUAGGACCUUGGGAACAUAGGACCCUGGGAUUAUUGGACCUUAGGAACAUAUGACCCUGGGAGCGUAGGAUCUUAGGAACAUAGGACCCUGGCAGCAUAGGACCCUAGCAACAUAGGAGCCUGGGAACAUAGGACCCUGGGAACAUGGGACCCUGGGAGCAUAGGACCCUGAGAACAUAAGAUCCUGGGAACACAGAACCUUUGAACCACAGGACCGUGGGAGGAAUGUGCCAACACAGCUGACUCCCUCAAUUAUAAUCACAUGUCUAACUCUGUCCCCAUUGUUUAUUUUAACUCCUCUGUUUAUGAGCUGAAAGAAUGCAGUAAUUUAUUCUGCUGUCGUCAUCGAGGUGAACAUUGGCACUGUAACAGUCAAAGUCACUUCAAUCAUUAACUGCAAUCAAUCCAUUGUGUCUGGAUGUAAGUAUAUACUACGAGGACUCCUGACGUACAAACCUAAUUACAUGCAGAUGUGGUAACAAAGAAAACUCAACAGCAUUGUCAUAAGACAUUAAUUUAAACACAAUAAUUAAAAUUGAUUUUAAUAAUUACAUGUAUUGGGAACUUUUGUAGGAGACGAUUAAUGUCUUUGACAUGAGGAUGACAAUCAAAGGCAUCCUGUUUUUGACCAGUAAUUACAGUCUAGAGCAAGAACUGAAUGGGAUAGUUUCCGUAUUGUUUAUAUGUUCUGCAAUCAUGCAUGCACAUGACAAAGGCCUGGUGAUGUUGAAAUACACUCUGCUAACUGCAGAGAGCGGCAAGUUAAAUGUGGUAAUGUGCAGCAAAAUGCAACAAAAUGUGUCAACAAAAUAAGAAAGUUGAUGUAGAUGAUGCUGAAAAAUAGGCUGUGCAAAUGCUAUAAAGACAGGAAACAUUUGAUUUGUUUGUUUAGCCUUAAAUUAAUAGCUCAACAAAUAGUUCAACAUUUUGGAAAACAAGGUUAUAGGUUACCAAAUAGUAAAAAGACAGACUAUUUGUAGACUAUUUCUUGCUACUGGCUAAGAUUAGGCUUAUCUACAACAUAAGUCCUGUAAAAUGAAAACAUGUCAUUUUUACACAUCAGUUUGAGAACAUAUUAAACAAAUGUGUCUUUAUUUGUGAGUUUUAGAGGUUCAGUUACCCUUGGACAAAGCCAAUCAAGCUGUUUACCUCUGCUCAUGUUGAGCUAAGCUAGCAUGCUGCUAGCUAGAUAAGAUACACCUUUGAGUUAUGUGUUUCAAAUCUGUGUUUUAUUCUUGUUUAAUUGCAGCAUAUAAAUGUAAGAACAGUUUUUCU